UGUGUGUUUAGUUUACUUACCUAAAACAGUCAGUUUUGUUCCUUUUCCAAAAUAUGCUUGGCUUCCAGCCCACUGUGAUACUAGCAGCACAAAAGUACACAGCAGAGUCGGAUGAGUUCAGAUUUGAGAGAACCAGAGAUCCUUCAGUAACCCCAUUCCUCUUCAAC